rnacentral:rRNA from 1 species
AACUGAAGAGUUUGAUCAUGGCUCAGAUUGAACGCUGGCGGCAGGCUUAACACAUGCAAGUCGAGCGGGGGAAGGUAGCUUGCUACCGGACUAGCGG